rnacentral:rRNA from 1 species
AGUCGAACGGCAGCGGGGGCUUCGGCCUGCCGGCGAGUGGCGAACGGGUGAGUAAUGCAUCGGAACGUACCCAGUCGUGGGGGAUAACUACGCGAAAGCGUAGCUAAUACCGCAUACGCCCUGAGGGGGAAAGCGGGGGACCUUCGGGCCUCGCGCGAUUGGAGCGGCUGAUGUCGGAUUAGCUAGUUGGUGAGGUAAAGGCUCACCAAGGCGACGAUCUGUAGCGGGUCUGAGAGGACGACCAGCCACACUGGAACUGAGACACGGUCCAGACUCCUACGGGAGGCAGCAGUGGGGAAUUUUGGACAAUGGGGGCAACCCUGAUCCAGCCAUGCCGCGUGAGUGAAGAAGGCCUUCGGGUUGUAAAGCUCUUUCAGCCGGGAAGAAAACGCAUGGGUUAAUACCCUGUGUGGAUGACGGUACCGGAAUAAGAAGCACCGGCUAACUACGUGCCAGCAGCCGCGGUAAU